rnacentral:rRNA from 1 species
UACGACUACAUAUCAGGCAUAUCAAUAAGCGGAGGAAAAGAAACUAACUAGGAUUCCCUUAGUAACGGCGAGUGAAGCGGGAAGAGCUCAAAUUUGAAAUCUUCAAGGUUCUACCUUGACGAAUUGUAGUUUAAAGAAGUGUUUUCUGUUGGAGUUUUGGUAAAAGUUCUUUGGAAUAGGACAUCAUAGAGGGUGAGAAUCCCGUAUUUGACCAUUUCUUCCAGCUGUGUGAUACACUUUCAAAGAGUCGGAUUGUUUGGGAAUGCAGUCCAAAAUGGGUGGUAAAUUUCAUCUAAAGCUAAAUAUUGGCGAGAGACCGAUAGCGAACAAGUACCGUGAGGGAAAGAUGAAAAGAACUUUGAAAAGAGAGUUAAACAGUACGUGAAAUUGUCAAAAGGGAAGCGUUUGACACCAGUGUUGUUUUCUCGAAAAUCAAUUAAAAGUGGCCGGAUUUCGUGUUGUAUUGACUUUAUCAGCUUUCUGCACUUUUUUCAUGUUUAUUUUUAAUGCACUUUUCGUUUAACAAGUCAACAUCAAUUUCUUUUGUUGUAAAAGAGUCAUUGGAAGGUGGCUUUCGAGAAAGUGUUUAUAGCCUUUGACUCCUGCAAUCGGAGAGAUUGAGGUCUGCAGCGUAGAUCCUUCGGGGUUAGAUACAUUUGUGCUAAGUUAUAGUCUUUCAUAGACAACAUUGUUGACUAUGAUUUAAUCAUGUAGCUUACUCGCUUAUGUAUUUUACCUACGCUUAGGAUGUUGAACGCGCACAGAGUCUC